UACGGAGGGUGCGAGCGUUGUCCGGAAUCAUUGGGCGUAAAGGGCGCGUAGGUGGCUUCUUAAGCGUGCGGUGAAAGCCUGGGGCUCAACCCCGGGUCGGCCGUGCGAACUGGGGGGCUGGAGCACUGUAGAGGCAGGCGGAAUUCCGGGGUGUAGCGGUGGAAUGCGUAGAGAUCCGGAAGAACACCGGUGGCGAAGGCGGCCUGCUGGGACAGUGC
rnacentral:rRNA from 1 species